rnacentral:lncRNA from 1 species
UGGAUUGAUGUUGAUUCAUUUCAUAUUGGGUCAAUGUAUUUUGCUUAUGUCAUUUGAAUUUCAAUUAUGUAUAUUCCUUUUCUUCUUUUUUUUUUUUUUUCUUUUUGAUCAACGAGUUAAUGAUUAGUGGAAUUCAUUUCAUAUUGGGUCAAUGUAUUUUGCUUAUGUCAUUUGAAUUUCAAUUAUGUAUAUUCCUUUUCUUCUUUUUUUUUUUUUUUCUUUUUGAUCAACGAGUUAAUGAUUAGUGGUUAGCCUUGAC